rfam:Capsicum annuum cultivar Zunla-1 chromosome 3, whole genome shotgun sequence
UAAUAAUGAUAAGGGCAAUUUCUAAGCAUACCCUUAAAUCUCUCCCAAGCUUGGUAAAUAUUUUCUCAUUUUUUCUGCCUAAAACUCAGAAUCUUACUUCUCAAGCA